rnacentral:lncRNA from 1 species
GUUUCCACGAAACUCCCUUUUAUCUUCUACUAAAACAAGAAAAUUCAAAAAAAAAGAGGUCGCUUAGUAUUCUCGAACUUUGUCCCCAGCCAAUCAGCAUUAGGGUUUUAAACCCUGAACUGAACUUUUUCCUUUAGUCAGCAUUAGGGUUUUAAAACCAUAAACUGAGCUUUUUCCAUGCAAUCAGCAUUAGGGUUUUAAACCUUAAACUGAGCUUUUCCAUUUAGUCAGCAUUAGGGUUUUAAACCUUAAACUGAGCUUUUCCAUUUAGUCAGCAUUAGGGUUUUAAACCCUAAACUGAGCUUUUCUAUGCAAUCAGCAUUAGGGUUUUAAACACCUAAACUGAAUUUUUCCUUUAGUCAGCAUUAGGGUUUUAAACCCUAAACUGAACUUUUUUCCUUUCAGCCAUCAUUAGAGUUUUAAACCCUAAACUGAGCUUUUCCAUGCAGUCAGCAUUAGGGUUUUAAACCCUAAACUGACAUUUUUCCUUUAAUCAGCAUUAGGGUUUUAAACCCUAAACUGAACUCUUUCCUUUCAGCCAGCAUUAGGGUUUUAAACCCUAAACUGAGCUUUUCCAUGCAAUCAGCAUUAGGGUUUUAAACACCUAAACUGAGCUUUUCCAUGCAGUCAGCAUUAGGGUUUUAAACCCUAAACUGAAUUUUUCCUUUUAGUCAGCAUUAGGGUUUUAAACCCUAAACUGAACUCUUUCCAUUCAGCCAGCAUUAGGGUUUUAAACCCUAAACUGAGUUUUUUCCGUUCAGCCAGCAUUAGGGUUUUAAACUCUAAACUGAGCUUUUCUAUUUAGUCAACAUUAGGGUUUUAAACCCUAAACU